AGUCGAGGGGUAUUAUCUUCGGAUAGAGAGACCGGCGCACGGGUGCGUAACGCGUAUGCAAUCUACCUUUUACAGAGGGAUAGCCCAGAGAAAUUUGGAUUAAUACCUCAUAGCAUUGCAGAAUGGCAUCAUUCAGCAAUUAAAGUCACAACGGUAAAAGAUGAGCAUGCGUCCCAUUAGCUAGUUGGUAAGGUAACGGCUUACCAAGGCUACGAUGGGUAGGGGUCCUGAGAGGGAGAUCCCCCACACUGGUACUGAGACACGGACCAGACUCCUACGGGAGGCAGCAGUGAGGAAUAUUGGACAAUGGGCGCAAGCCUGAUCCAGCCAUGCCGCGUGCAGGAUGACGGUCCUAUGGAUUGUAAACUGCUUUUAUACGAGAAGAAACACUGCUACGUGUAGCAGCUUGACGGUAUCGUAAGAAUAAGGAUCGGCUAACUCCGUGCCAGCAGCCGCGGUAAUACGGAGGAUCCAAGCGUUAUCCGGAAUCAUUGGGUUUAAAGGGUCCGUAGGCGGUUUAAUAAGUCAGUGGUGAAAGCCCAUCGCUCAACGGUGGAACGGCCAUUGAUACUGUUAGACUUGAAUUAUUAGGAAGUAACUAGAAAUAUGUAGUGUAGCGGUGAAAUGCUUAGAGAUUACAUGGGAAUACCAAUUGCGAAAGGCAGGUUACUACUAAUUGAUUGACGCUGAUGG
rnacentral:rRNA from 1 species